GGACGAACGCUGGCGGCGUGCUUAACACAUGCAAGUCGAGCGGUAAGGCCCUUUCGGGGGUACACGAGCGGCGAACGGGUGAGGUAACACGUGGGUGACCUGCCCUCAGCUCUGGGAUAAGCCUGGGAACCGGGUCUAAUACUGGAUAUGACUCCAUGACGCAUGUUGUGGGGUGAAAGCCUUGUGCGGCUGAGGAUGGGCCCGCGGCCUAUCAGCUUGUUGGUGGGGUGAUGGCCUACCAAGGCGACGACGGGUAGCCGGCCUGAGAGGGCGACCGGCCACACUGGGACUGAGACACGGCCCAGACUCCUACGGGAGGCAGCAGUGGGGAAUCUUGCGCAAUGGGCGAAAGCCUGACGCAGCGACGCCGCGUGAGGGAUGACGGCCU
rnacentral:rRNA from 1 species